rnacentral:rRNA from 1 species
GACGAACGCUGGCGGCGUGCUUAACACAUGCAAGUCGAACGGAAAGGCCCUGCUUUUGUGGGGUGCUCGAGUGGCGAACGGGUGAGUAACACGUGAGUAACCUGCCCUUGACUUUGGGAUAACUUCAGGAAACUGGGGCUAAUACCGGAUAGGAGCUCCUGCUGCAUGGUGGGGGUUGGAAAGUUUCGGCGGUUGGGGAUGGACUCGCGGCUUAUCAGCUUGUUGGUGGGGUAGUGGCUUACCAAGGCUUUGACGGGUAGCCGGCCUGAGAGGGUGACCGGCCCCAUUGGGCCUGGGAUACGGCCCAGACUCCUACGGGAGGCAGCAGUGGGGAAUAUUGCCAAAUGGGCGGAAGCCUGAUGCAGCAACGCCGCGUGCGGGAUGACGGCCUUCGGGUUGUAAACCGCUUUCGCCUGUGACGAAGCGUGAGUGACGGUAAUGGGUAAAGAAGCACCGGCUACCUACGU